rnacentral:rRNA from 1 species
GAUGAACGCUGGCGGCGUGCCUAAUACAUGCAAGUCGAGCGAACAGACGAGGAGCUUGCUCCUCUGACGUUAGCGGCGGACGGGUGAGUAACACGUGGAUAACCUCCCUAUAAGACUGGGAUAACUUCGGGAAACCGGAGCUAAUACCGGAUAAUAUAUUGAACCGCAUGGUUCAAUAGUGAAAGACGGUUUUGCUGUCACUUAUAGAUGGAUCCCCGCCGCAUUAGCUAGUUGGUAAGGUAACGGCUUACCAAGGCAACGAUGCGUAGCCGACCUGAGAGGGUGGUAGGCCACACGGGAACGGAGACACGGUCCCGACUCCUACGGGAGGCAGCAGUAGGGAAUCUUCCGCAGCGGGCGAAAGCCUGACGGAGCAACGCAGAGUGAGUGAUGAAGGUCUUCGGAUCGUAAAACUCUGUUAUGAGGGAAGAACAAAUGUGUAAGUAACUAUGCACGUCUUGACGGUACCUAAUCAGAAAGCCACGGCUAACUACGUG